AUUGAACGCUGGCGGCAUGCUUUACACAUGCAAGUCGAACGGUAACAGCACUUCGGUGGCUGACGAGUGGCGAACGGGUGAGUAAUACAUCGGAACGUGCCUAGUAGUGGGGGAUAACUACUCGAAAGAGUAGCUAAUACCGCAUGAGAUCUAAGGAUGAAAGCAGGGGACCUUCGGGCCUUGCGCUACUAGAGCGGCUGAUGGCAGAUUGGGUAGUUGGUGGGAUAAAAGCUUACCAAGCCGACGAUCUGUAGCUGGUCUGAGGGGACGACCAGCCACAGUGGGACUGAAAAACGGCCCAGACACUUAGGGAAGGCAGAGGGGGGGAAUUUGGACAAUGGGCGCAAGCCUGAUCCAGCAAUGCCGCGUGCAGGAUGAAGGCCUUCGGGUUGUAAACUGCUUUUGUACGGAACGAAAAGCCCUCUUCUAAUACAGGAGGGUCAUGACGGUACCGUAAGAAUAAGCACCGGCUAACUACGUG
rnacentral:rRNA from 1 species